CAGAAAAGCGAAUAAACAAAGGCGUUGUGUAGACGUGGCAUCAUAGGAGCGAAGCCGCGCAUGCGCACUCGCCGCCGCCUCCGUCAGAACAUGGCUUCCUCGGAACUAACCAUGGAGGAGUGCGUCCCGUCUCCCGGCACCCCAGACUCGAGGAAGAGGCCCUUAGACAUCGACUCCGACGAUGCCAUAUCCAAGAGAUCACACUAUAUACCUGCAGACAUGCAGAGCGAUGGAACAUACCACCUCAAGAUCCUUGUCCCAAGCGUGGCUGCUGGUGCCAUAAUUGGCAAGGGAGGUGAAACUAUUGCUCAACUCCAGAAGGAUACAAAUGCCCGAGUCAAGAUGUCGAAGGCAAAUGAUUUUUACCCAGGUACAACAGAACGCGUUUGCCUGAUCACAGGCAACGUGGACGCCAUAUUGACAGUCUUGUCAUUCAUUAUGGAGAAGAUCAAGGAGAAGCCAGAUCCCAAUGCCAAGCCAGCCAUUGACUUUGAUAAUAAACAGACAGCAGAGAGGGAGAAACAGAUUUCAAGAAGUGCUCGCUCCCCACAGGUGAAGAUUUUGGUCCCAAACAGCACAGCUGGGAUGAUCAUUGGGAAGGGUGGCACUUACAUCAAGCAGAUCAAGGAAGAAAGUGGAGCAUACGUUCAGAUCUCUCAGAAGGCCAAAGAUCAGUCUCUGGCUGAACGGUGCAUCACAGUCAUCUCCAAUGAUGUUGACAACAGCAAGAAUGCAUGCCUGAUGAUCCUGGCCAAAAUUGUGGAGGACCCACAGAGUGGAACAUGUCUCAAUGUGAGCUAUGCAGACAUCACAGGCCCCGUCGCAAAUCCCAACCCCACUGGAUCUCCAUUUGCCAACUCUCCAGGUGGACAAAACACGCAGAAUGGUACCAUGGGAGCACUGUCCAAUCCACUUUCUGCAGUGAGUGGAUUGGGUAAUUUGCUUGGAGGUGGAGUAAAUCUGACCUUAAAUCUAAGCUCAGCCUAUCCCAAUGGAGGUGCUGGGAACCCUGUGGUUACCGGACAACUGUUAGAGCAUGUACGCUCUCUCCUGCGCUCGUCUGGCUUUGCUGACCAGUCCAAUGCUGAAGUGUGUCAGGCCAUUAGCACUCUGAUCAACUAUGGUAUCAUAGGCCUGGGGCUUGGUCUCGGGAAUCCCUCUGGUCACCAGGGCGGGCAAGGUGGGCAAGGACAGCAGGGGCAAGGAAAUAUGGGGAACAUGAAUAUAAACAUGAACAACUCAAAUAACCCAAAUGACUCUUAUCAUGGCUCAUCAAUGAGUAAUGGGAACAAUGGCCCUUUUGGGCCCAUAGGCACAACAGUUGCAUCAGGCCUUAACCUUGGACAGGGUUUAGGGGGACCAACAUCUCCUCAGCGACAGGUGGACCGAUUCAACUCAGAACCCCCAUUUGAUCCCUUUCGUCGACAGUCGACAGAGAUGGGGGCGAGCCUUCCGCUGAACAGUAACUCUUUCGGGCUGGGGACCCCUUUAAGGAAGAGCCCCUCUCCAGGAGAGCUUCCUCCAGGAGCACCAGAAGGUAGCAAGAAAGUUGAGAUGGAGGUUGGUGAGCACAUUGUUGGCGCUAUCUUGGGCCCCGGGGGAAAGUCCCUGGUAGAAAUACAGCACAUGUCCGGCACCACAAUACAAAUCUCCAAGAAGGAUAAUGGGUGACCCCAAUGUCUUGAAUGAUGAUUAAGCUGGUGUGUAUGUGUGGAGCUGACAGUGCCAGGCUGUGGUGGUGGCGGCGGCAGGAGGGUGAGAGACUCCACGCAGGCUCGGCACUCCUCUCCACACAGUUCUUAUUGUCCUCUGGAAAAUCCAGUGUACAGUUACUGAUGAAAAGGUGAAAAUAUGUACAUCUAUAUAGUGAUGCUAUCAGGUGUGUGUUUCAUCAUCAUUUAUUCACACAUUCUCCCUGUUUCUUGUGAUACAUCAUUAAAUUGAAUUACAUAAGACAUCAUUCUUUGAUAUGCUGACAUUUUUAGUCAUUCAUAUAUUGUACUAAAGGAAAAUGCUCGUCUUAAAAAGAUGAACUUUUUAACAGUUCAUAGAACAAACCUCUUUCCCUUGCUUUGUUUAUAUACACUUUGAGUAUUUAUUUAUUUAUUAUAUUUCCUAGAGAAAUGAAAAAAAAAUUGCAACUUGUGGGAACUUUUUGAAAUGCUUAGAAGUCUGAUAUAGUUUGCCAUAUACUGAAAGUCAAGAAUUGAUUUUCUUUUCUUUGACAAGAGGGAGAACAACCAAAUUCAUAGAUGCCAACAUUUUACAGUUUUAUCAGGUUUCGUCAUGUGUGGUCACCAUCUACACACAGGCAUUGUGGCAUGCUGGGUGUGAAGAGGUUUGGUGCUGCUGGGCAUUGCUUGAGUGGAAUGAGGAUGAAAGCUGGUAACACUUGAGUACAGGUCAUGUUGGAGGUGCUGUCGUGUGCCCAGCCAAAUGGAUCUCGGAUAUUGAAAUUUUGCCGCUGGUAGGAACGGAAGAUCCUUCUGGGAAUGGAUAUAGAUCUAGUGAGAAACAAAUUGUGUAUAGAAGGAAGAAAUAUAUGUUGUCUUUCUUUUAUUAAUCUACAUCCUGUUUCUUCUACUUGGUUAUUUCUUUGGUUGGAUAUACUUGGUCUGGUCUGUAUUUUUUACAGAUUAAAUGCAGUAAAUUAAUGUGAAUGCAUGAAAUGCCCAUUAAGGUCAUAAGGAGGGUAUCCAUGCAAUAUAUUCAGUUUUGAAGCCUUUUUUUGUCUGUAUAUAUUCUAAAUUUGUCUUAAAACACCAUUAAUGUGGUGGAAUUUGCGCCUUUAACAUUUACUACAAUUUUUUUUUUAAUAUCAUUAAAGAGAAUAGUGCUUUCAUAGGAAACUUAACGUUUUUUAUGUAAUGAAGUCUUGGUAUAUAGUCUUGGUUUGAUAAUAGAAGUUUUUGAGUAUUCGAUUUCAAGUUGAUUGGAGAACUUGCAGUUUACAGUCUCUAAUCUCAAGAUGGUUUGGUUGUAAGUUACAGCGAGUAUUGGUAUUGAUUUUCUCUGUGAAUUGCCAUAUAUUACGAGCUUAUUUCAGAAAGUGUUUUCUUUAAUGCAUAUUCUAUGUUCCUUCAAUAGCUUGAGUAAAGGCUUGGUACAAGAAUCACUAAAAAAAUUACAAAAGGUCUGUAGCAUUCUAUAUAAUGAGAUAGUACAAUUGCUUUUCAUUUCCCAUCUGAAUACGUUAAACCAUGAUCCAGUUAAUGGAUUAAUUGUUUUAAAGGAGAGCUGUAAUGCAGUUCAGAUAUUUAUCAUAUUCUGAAGUUUACCGUAUGUUAAAUCUCUCCAAAUACCUUCAAGAAAUUGUUGAUAAGAAAUUGGUAGAAUGUAUUUAUAGAUUUCUUCAAUAUUGAUGAAAACCUCUAAUACAUGUUUAACCAUAUACCAUACCAAGAAUAGAACAUGCAUAAUAACAUACCAUUUACUCAAAAUAUACUAGCAUAAACAUGAACUUUUAACCUUAUUUUUGGGAACCUUUAUGAAAUAUAUAUAUGGGAUACUGUCGGUGAACUUCAAUCUAUAUUGUACAACGAAUGUGCAGUAGUCUGAAGUUUGGAGAUAAACUGGUAAGUAGUUUUUUUUUUUUUUACUUCUUCGACUACAAGAAGUUUGUCAUAGAGUAAAUAUUUCACAUUCAGUAUUUUGAGGGUGGAGGGAAAUAGAAUGCGACUCGGUUUGGUGAAGGAAAUCAACUUAAAAGUUUAAGGGAAAUUUCAUCGUUUUCAGUGCGGAAACGCUACAGACAUCCAUAUAACUACAUGGACAAGCACCGACACUGUUUCACAAUCAUUCACACUAACUUACGAUUUCCCUCUUCAUUUUCUCUUCUAAUUUAUAUUUUCUUUUCUAAUUUAUUUAAAGGUUUUAGAAAUCCUCAUUGUUUUAAAUUCACUUCCACCUCCAUUAGGUUUUCAACGAUCGAGAGCAUUCAUAUGAUAAAUGUUUUAGAGAAUGAUCAGGACAGAGCAGUUCAUCUUUUUUGUUAUGAUUUGUAACACGGACACACGUUAACAAUCUCCCUCACUUAACUCAUGAAAUCAGCACGUAAACAUCACGCAUCGAGUUGUUAGCACCCUCUCUAAGAAGGGCACAUUCUUUGAUCAUCCUUAGGCAACGGAAUAUGUUGAUGAGCACAUUGUUUAUCUACUGAGGUGCAUAAGGAAUAUGAUGUAUCAAAUGUUGAUUUUUUUGGUUAAAUAUAUAUUUUAUAUUGAA
rnacentral:misc_RNA from 1 species